rnacentral:rRNA from 1 species
GAUGUGCUUGCACAUCGCUGACGAGUGGCGGACGGGUGAGUAAUGCUUGGGAACUUGCCUUUGCGAGGGGGAUAACAGUUGGAAACGACUGCUAAUACCGCAUAAUGUCUACGGACCAAACGGGGCUUCGGCUCCGGCGCAAAGAGAGGCCCAAGUGAGAUUAGCUAGUUGGUAAGGUAACGGCUUACCAAGGCGACGAUCUCUAGCUGUUCUGAGAGGAAGAUCAGCCACACUGGGACUGAGACACGGCCCAGACUCCUACGGGAGGCAGCAGUGGGGAAUAUUGCACAAUGGGGGAAACCCUGAUGCAGCCAUGCCGCGUGUGUGAAGAAGGCCUUCGGGUUGUAAAGCACUUUCAGUUGUGAGGAAAAGUUAGUAGUUAAUACCUGCUAGCCGUGACGUUAACAACAGAAGAAGCACCGGCUAACUCCGUGCCAGCAGCCGCGGUAAUACGGAGGGUGCGAGCGUUAAUCGGAAUUACUGGGCGUAAAGCGCACGCAGGCGGUUUGUUAAGCUAGAUGUGAAAGCCCCGGGCUCAACCUGGGAUGGUCAUUUAGAACUGGCAGACUAGAGUCUUGGAGAGGGGAGUGGAAUUCCAGGUGUAGCGGUGAAAUGCGUAGAUAUCUGGAGGAACAUCAGUGGCGAAGGCGACUCCCUGGCCAAAGACUGACGCUCAUGUGCGAAAGUGUGGGUAGCGAACAGGAUUAGAUACCCUGGUAGUCCACACCGUAAACGCUGUCUACUAGCUGUGUGUGCCUUUAAGGCUGUGCGUAGCGAAGCUAACGC